rnacentral:rRNA from 1 species
CCUACGGGUGGCAGCAGUGAGGAAUAUUGGUCAAUGGACGAGAGUCUGAACCAGCCAAGUAGCGUGAAGGAUGACUGCCCUAUGGGUUGUAAACUUCUUUUAUAUGGGAAUAAAAUGUUCCACGUGUGGGAUUUUGUAUGUACCAUAUGAAUAAGGAUCGGCUAACUCCGUGCCAGCAGCCGCGGUAAUACGGAGGAUCCGAGCGUUAUCCGGAUUUAUUGGGUUUAAAGGGAGCGUAGGUGGAUUGUUAAGUCAGUUGUGAAAGUUUGCGGAUCAACCGUAAAAUUGCAGUUGAAACUGGCAGUCUUGAGUACAGUAGAGGUGUGCGGAAUUCGUGGUGUAGCGGUGAAAUGCUUAGAUAUCACGAAGAACUCCGAUUGCGAAGGCAGUUCACUGGACUGCAACUGACACUGAGGCUCGAAAGUGUGGGUAUCAAACAGGAUUAGAUACCCCAGUAGUC